rnacentral:rRNA from 1 species
CCUACGGGAUGCAGCAGUAGGGAAUCUUCCACAAUGGGCGCAAGCCUGAUGGAGCAACGCCGCGUGAGUGAAGACGGCCUUCGGGUUGUAAAGCUCUGUCUGUCGGGACGAAGACCGGCCCGGAAGGGCCGGGGAGCCGGUACCGACGGAGGAAGCCCCUGCAAACUACGUGCCAGCAGCCGCGGUAAGGCGUAGGGGGCAAGCGUUGUCCGGAAUUACUGGGCGUAAAGGGCGUGUAGGCGGUGCGAUACGUAGCGGUUUUAAGCCUCCGGCUCACCCGGAGGAGGGCGGCUAAACGGUCGCGCUAGAGGGCAGGAGAGGUGCGUGGAAUUCCUGGUGGAGCGGUGAAAUGCGUAGAGAUCAGGAAGAACACCCGUGGCGAAGGCGGCGCACUGGCCUGGCCCUGACGCUGAGGCGCGACAGCGUGGGGAGCGAACGGGAUUAGAUACCCUCGUAGUC